rnacentral:rRNA from 1 species
AUUGAACGCUGGCGGCAGGCCUAACACAUGCAAGUCGAGCGGAUGAGAGGAGCUUGCUCUUCGAUUCAGCGGCGGACGGGUGAGUAAUGCCUAGGAAUCUGCCCAGUAGUGGGGGACAACGUUUCGAAAGGAACGCUAAUACCGCAUACGUCCUACGGGAGAAAGUGGGGGAUCUUCGGACCUCACGCUAUUGGAUGAGCCUAGGUCGGAUUAGCUAGUUGGUAGGGUAGAGGCCUACCAAGGCGACGAUCCGUAACUGGUCUGAGAGGAUGAUCAGGCACACUGGAACGGAGACACGGUCCAGACUCCUACGGGAGGCAGCAGUGGGGAAUAUUGGACAAUGGGCGCAAGCCUGAUCCAGCCAUGCCGCGUGUGUGAAGAAGGCCCUCGGGUCGUAAAGCACUUUAAGUUGGGAGGAAGGGCUUACAGCGAAUACCUGUGAGUUUUGACGUUACCGACAGAAUAAGCACCGGCUAACUUCGUGCCAGCCGCCGCAGUAA